rnacentral:rRNA from 1 species
GACGGGGCCCGCACAAGCGGAGGAACAUGUGGUUAAUUCGAUGAUACGCGAGGAACCUUACCUGGGCUUAAAUGUAGAGUGCAUGAUGUGGAAACAUGUCUUCCCUUCGGGGCUCUCUGCAAGGUGCUGCAUGGUUGUCGUCAGCUCGUGCCGUGAGGUGUCGGGUUAAGUCCCAUAACGAGCGCAACCCUUAUCGUUAGUUGCCAGCGGGUAAUGCCGGGAACUCUAACGAAACUGCCGGUGUAAACCGAGAGGAAGUGGGGAUGACGUCAAAUCAGCACGGCCCUUAUGUCCAGGGCUACACACGUGUUACAAUGGCCGGUACAGAGGGCAGCUACCUGGAGACAGGAUGCGAAUCUCGAAAGCCGGUCUCAGUUCGGAUCGGAGUCUGCAACUCGACUCCGUGAAGCUGGAUUCGCUAGUAAUCGCGCAUCAGCCAUGGCGCGGUGAAUACGUUCCCGGGCCUU